rnacentral:lncRNA from 1 species
CCCCUUUUCACUCAGCUCUGCAUCGAACCAGCCACAGAAACGGUUCUCCUGGUUCCAUGUGCUCUCGCCGUGCCGGACCAUCACGAGGCGCCAGGCUAGGAGGCGGCCCUCAGCAGGCAGAGGAGGAGAGCCAGAGGAGCUGGUGCAGACCACAGCUUUGUGGAGAGGAGUCUGGCCUUGUGGAAGGUACCAGGCAGCAGCAGCAGAAUGGGCAAGGGCUGGGGCUGAGCCGGGUUUCCAGGACAAAGGGGGAAAGGGCCCCUGUCUUUCCUCCGGGGUCCCUUUGUCAAGGUCUCAUCCAUACAUGCCCCAUGCUCCCACCCUAUCUGCCCUCACCCAAGCCACGCUCACUCUCCUAGCCGAAACCACCUUGAAAAAGAGAAAUCCAAGGGGGUUUGGGGGCAGGACUGAGGACUGUCAGAAGUCUUGAUUGUUAGGUAAAUGCUCAGCUUAGCAGGAACCCACAACGUAGGCUGAAGGGUGGCACGGAGUUGAGUCUAGGACCAAGACUUCUGCAUUCAGGUUUGGGGGAUGAGAGCCACCAAGGCAGGGAAGAGACUAUGAGCAAUAAAGUCACAAUUGGGGCCCUAAUGAAGGGGCCAUGGCCAGACCCUUGGGCAUGGGCCCCAUCCAGGGCCUCCCAUUUCCUCCCACCCCAGUGACCACACUGUCACCUGCGACACUUCUGAUAACAGGAGCGGGUAGGUGAGAGGCCAGCAGAGGGACCACCACUCUGAGACUUGGAUCUGAGUGUGCAAGAAACCCUCGACAGGCCUCCCUCCAUCCCUGCUGGCCUACCUGGGGAGGGGCUCCUGGCUUGGGGCCUGUGAAGCUAAGGCUCUGUACCCAAAGGUUGGCAGACAAGUCCCAGUGGGCAAAGUCCUGUCGGCUGCCAGGACCCCCAAGGCUGGCAGGUGGAACCCAUCCCUCCUAGCAGUGCCAUGCGCAGGUCUCACUGUUCCACACUGAUCCUGAUUGAAGCCACAUCUCCUCAUCUGCUUUUGUCCCUUUGACCAAGAGUUGAUUCACUAGCCCAACUAAACAUGACUGAGGACCAGGCUCUGGCAGUCCCACAGGGGCCAGACAUGAAGCCCAUAUUUCAGUGGAGGAGGGAUCGUACCAGCAGCUAAACAUGCCUACCGUAGAUAGCACCAGAUGCUAGGAAGGAAGGACCAUAAUGUACUGGGAGAGAUGGGAAAGGAGAGGCCGGGGACAGCCCUGAGGUGACAUGUGAGUGGAAAGAGCGGAGUGCAAAGGCCUCAGCUAUGAUGAGUCCUACAGGGAGAGCAAUUCAGGUAGAGGGGUUGGCAAAGACCCAAGCCCUACAGAAAGCAAACAAGCUGGGGCAGCGACCAUCAGGGGCACAUGGCAGAGAGGUGGGCUUUGUGUCCCAACACAGUGGGAAUCACUGGAGACUUUGAAGCAUGGUCAUAUUUUCAAGUCACUUGCAGCUGUGUAGGAGUGGAAGUAGAAGCUGAGUACCCUGCAGGUCUCGGCAGCUUUGAUGAGAACAAGGCCGCUUAGCCAGGGCUGGGUGCAGAAGCAGUGGCAAGGAUCCCCCAGACCUGGGAGACCUCACUGCCAACCAAGCAGGAGGUGUCAAAAAGGAAAGGGGAGCCCAAAGAAGGGCUGGACUUCGGGGAAGCAAGCCCCUGCUUCUGACCCUUGGCUCCGGCUUGACUUUCCUUUGAUUCAUUUGACAAGUAGUUGCUGGCCUCUGCAGUGUGCCAGAGCUUUCUUGGAGGGGUACAGGGGUAGGAAAACCAAAAGCCACCCUCAGGGCCUCCAUCCAGGAAGGCAUAGCAUGGUGGGCGGCGAGGAAGGCUGCUGAGUCAACAAGGUGGUCCCAGGAAGGUGGAGGGAGCAUCUUCCCAUGUCUCUCCCACUGACAGCCACCAAUCCUGGACAGAUGCAGGAGCAGCUGUCAGUAGACAGAUAAGAAAAGGAGAUCAGAUUCAAAGUUCCGCAGAGAAGUGGUGAGGUAACAAGUAUUGCCUAGCCUGGACACACAGGCGGCUUGAAACCUCAAGUGCACCAACAGAAAGAGCUCCAGGAAGAAUCAGAGGAGUGGGAUGUGAAGCCCCUCGAAGUCAGUGAGUUGGGGGAAUCCCUCCAAUUUUUCUUUUCUUCUCUACCCCAGCUCCUGGGCAGUAACAUGGAGGUGGCAGUGGUGGCACAGUGACGGUAGUGUGAGCUGGGUACGCACUUGAAACCUGAGAGGGUAACGCUACCCUCUGUCUAGAGGAGCCAUGGCCCCAAAAGCAUGGGGCAACCACCUUCUGCAGCUCCUUUCUGCCCCCCUGCGCUGGGCCCUGGAUGCAGUUUCAGGGAGUAUGCAGCAGGGUAGGUAGGGAAAGAGCCCCAGAUUUGUGGCUGGAGGUCUUGGUAGGGAUGUUGCAGGGAGCUGUUGUGUUUCAGGGAGAGUACAGAGAAGGGAGAGAUGAAGUGAGUGAUCCGAUAAAGUGAUAUGUGAAGUCAUUGGCUUGCUGCCAAGCUGCGCACAGGGCUGACCCUAGAUGCACAUUGCAGGUCCCAGACUGACCGGUGUAGAUACAGGACUAAUAUGACUAGUAGUGCAAACACUUUAAACAGUCAACAUUCUGCUUAGGAUUUAAACAAGGUCCAGAGUCUCAACAUAAUAUUUAAAAUAUCCAGGUUAUCCAAAAUAACCCAGUGUAUGAAAACCAGGAAAAUCUUAACAUGGGAGAAAAGAAGAUGAUCAAUACAUGCCCAUCCUGAGAUGAUUCAACUAUUGGAAUGAUCAGAUACAGACUUCAAAGCAGCUAUUUAUAACCAGCCUUCAGAAAGUAUUGGUGAAUAUUCUUAAACAGAAUGGAAAUGACAAAGCAUGGAGUCCAUAAAUUAGAUGAUAGUUUGGAAAAAGAUAUAAACUUACAAACCAAGAAGCUCAGUGAACCACACAACUGGAUAAAUUAACAACAAAAGUCCAAGCUUAGACACAUCAUAAAGAAACUUCUGAAAACUAAAGACCAAGAAAAAUAAGAUCAGCCAGAGAAAAACGAUACAUUUCAUUCAGGUGAACAAUUCUUUGAAAGACUGGAUCUUCACCAGAAACUAUAGAGGCCAGAAAGAAGUGGAACAUUUUUAGUUUUGAAAUAACUGUCACCCAAGAAUUCUAUAUCCAGUAAAAAUUUCUAUUUUACUGGAAUAAAAGAAUGAAAUAAAGACAUUCUCAAAUGAAGGCAAGCUGAGGAAAUUCAUAACCAAAGAAUCUGCUUUAAAAAAAUGUUAAACCAAGUUCUUCAGACAGAAGAGAUUACUGGGGGCAAUUCAAAACUUUGGGAAUGCAGGAAGAACAUCAUAAAUGGCAAAAGUCCACAUAAAUAUGAAACUAUUCUUUACUUCU